GUGGCGAGCGUUAUCCGGAAUGAUUGGGCGUAAAGGGUACGUAGGCGGCCAGAUAAGUCUGGUGUGAAAGGCUGCAGCUCAACUGCAGCACUGCACUGGAAACUGUCCGGCUGGAGUGCAGAAGAGGGCGAUGGAACUCCAUGUGUAGCGGUAAAAUGCGUAGAUAUAUGGAAGAACACCGGUGGCGAAGGCGGUCGCCUGGUCUGCAACUGACGCUGAAGUACGAAAGCGUGGGGAGC
rnacentral:rRNA from 1 species